UGUAGCCUACCUGGCAACCUGAUCUCAUCUGAUCUUGGACGUUAAGCAGGGUUGGACUUGGGUAGUACUUAGAUGGGAGAGAUUUUACUUUUUAUAC
rnacentral:rRNA from 1 species